rnacentral:rRNA from 1 species
UACGUAGGGACCGAGCGUUGUCCGGAAUCAUUGGGCGUAAAGAGCGUGUAGGCGGCCAACUAAGUCCUGCGUGAAAUCUCGGGGCUCAACCCCGAGCGGUCGUGGGAAACUGGUUGGCUAGAGUGCGGGAGAGGAGAGUGGAAUUCCUGGUGUAGCGGUGAAAUGCGCAGAUAUCGGGAGGAACACCAGUGGCGAAGGCGACUACCUGGCCUGUUCUUGACGCUGAGGCGCGAAAGCUAGGGGAGCAAACGGG